UACGAAGGGGGCUAGCGUUGCUCGGAAUCACUGGGCGUAAAGCGCACGUAGGCGGAUCUUUAAGUCAGGGGUGAAAUCCUGGAGCUCAACUCCAGAACUGCCUUUGAUACUGGGGAUCUCGAGUCCGGGAAGAGGUGAGUGGAACUCCGAGUGUAGAGGUGAAAUUCGUAGAUAUUCGGAAGAACACCAGUGGCGAAGGCGGCUCACUGGUCCGGUACUGACGCUGAGGUGCGAAAGCGUGGGGAGCAAACAGG
rnacentral:rRNA from 1 species